rnacentral:rRNA from 1 species
UACGGAGGGGGCUAGCGUUGUUCGGAAUUACUGGGCGUAAAGCGCUCGUAGGCGGCUUUGUAAGUUAGAGGUGAAAGCCCGGGGCUCAACUCCGGAACUGCCUUUAAGACUGCAUCGCUCGAAUUGUGGAGAGGUAAGUGGAAUUCCGAGUGUAGAGGUGAAAUUCGUAGAUAUUCGGAAGAACACCAGUGGCGAAGGCGACUUACUGGACACAUAUUGACGCUGAGGUGCGAAAGCGUGGGGAGCAAACAGG